rnacentral:tRNA from 1 species
GCCGCUUUAGCUCAGUUGGUAGAGCAACCGCUUCGUAAGUGGUAGGUCAAGUGUUCGAGUCACUUAAGCGGCACCA